rnacentral:rRNA from 1 species
CCAGACUCCUACGGGAGGCAGCAGUGGGGAAUAUUGCACAAUGGGCGCAAGCCUGAUGCAGCCAUGCCGCGUGUAUGAAGAAGGCCUUCGGGUUGUAAAGUACUUUCAGCAGUGAGGAAGGAGGUAUCGUUAAUAGCGGUAUCUUUUGACGUUAGCUGCAGAAGAAGCACCGGCUAACUCCGUGCCAGCAGCCGCGGUAAUACGGAGGGUGCGAGCGUUAAUCGGAAUUACUGGGCGUAAAGCGCAUGCAGGUGGUUUGUUAAGUCAGAUGUGAAAGCCCGGGGCUCAACCUCGGAAUUGCAUUUGAAACUGGCAGGCUAGAGUACUGUAGAGGGGGGUAGAAUUUCAGGUGUAGCGGUGAAAUGCGUAGAGAUCUGAAGGAAUACCGGUGGCGAAGGCGGCCCCCUGGACAGAUACUGACACUCAGAUGCGAAAGCGUGGGGAGCAAACAGGAUUAGAUACCCUGGUAGUCCACGCCGUAAACGAUGUCUACUUGGAGGUUGUGGCCUUGAGCCGUGGCUUUCGGAGCUAACGCGUUAAGUAGACCGCCUGGGGAGUACGGUCGCAAGAUUAAAACUCAAAUGAAUUGACGGGGGCCCGCACAAGCGGUGGAGCAUGUGGUUUAAUUCGAUGCAACGCGAAGAACCUUACCUACUCUUGACAUCCAGAGAACUUAGCAGAGAUGCUUUGGUGCCUUCGGGAACUCUGAGACAGGUGCU